GAUGAAGAACGUAGCGAAAUGCGAUACGUAAUGUGAAUUGCAGAAUUCAGUGAAUCAUCGAGUCUUUGAACGCACAUUGCGCCCCCUGGUAUUCCGGGGGGCAUGCCUGUCCGAGCGUCAUUGCUGCCCUCAAGCACGGCUUGUGUGUUGGGCCUCCGUCCUCCUACCGGGGGACGGGCCCGAAAGGCAGCGGCGGCACCGCGUCCGGUCCUCGAGCGUAUGGGGCUUCGUCACCCGCUCUUGUAGGCCCGGCCGGCGCUUGCCGACACAUCAAUCUUUUUUCCAGGUUGACCUCGGAUCAGGUAGGGAUACCCGCUGAACUUAAGCAUAUCAAUAAGCGGAGGA
rnacentral:misc_RNA from 1 species